AUUGAACGCUGGCGGCAUGCUUUACACAUGCAAGUCGAACGGCAGCGCGGGGGCAACCCUGGCGGCGAGUGGCGAACGGGUGAGUAAUGUAUCGGAACGUAUCCUGUAAUGGGGGAUAACCAGUCGAAAGAUUGGGUAAUACCGCAUACGCACGAGAGUGGAAAGUAGGGGAUCGCAAGACCUUACGUUAUAGGAGCGGCCGAUAUCUGAUUAGCUAGUUGGUGGGGUAAAGGCCUACCAAGGCGACGAUCAGUAGCUGGUCUGAGAGGACGACCAGCCACACUGGGACUGAGACACGGCCCAGACUCCUACGGGAGGCAGCAGUGGGGAAUUUUGGACAAUGGGCGCAAGCCUGAUCCAGCCAUGCCGCGUGCAGGAUGAAGGCCUUCGGUUGUAAAGACUCUUCUACCGAUGAAGAUAAUGACGGUAGUCGGAGAAGAAGACCCCGGCUAACUUCGUGCCAGCAGCCGCGGUAACGAGUACGUCCUAU
rnacentral:rRNA from 1 species